CAGGACUGAAAGCUGCUCUGGGUGAGUCAGUGAGUGAGUGGGUUGUUAGUGGACAUCAUCCGAGCAAAACUUGAAAAGUGCUUAUAUGACUGGGCUUACCUGUACAUGUUCCUGCUUUUACAUGAGAGGCACAUGCCUCCAAUAUAACCACUGGUCCAAGAAAGAUAGGAAAUACAUGGAGAAAACCUGGUUUCUAUCUGAAGUUUGGAGCCACCCCAACAAAAAAAAGCCUGAAGAAGGGGCACUCCAAGCCACUCAAAAACACAUGAGCAAGAAAUAAAUGCCUAUUGCUGAUGCCACUGA